rnacentral:rRNA from 1 species
UAGGGAAUCUUCGGCAAUGGGGGGAACCCUGACCGAGCAACGCCGCGUGAGUGAAGAAGGUUUUCGGAUCGUAAAGCUCUGUUGUUAAGGAAGAACGAGUGUGAGAAUGGAAAGUUCAUGCUGUGACGGUACUUAACCAGAAAGGGACGGCUAACUACGUGCCAGCAGCCGCGGUAAUACGUAGGUCCCGAGCGUUGUCCGGAUUUAUUGGGCGUAAAGCGAGCGCAGGCGGUCAAUUAAGUCUGAUGUGAAAGCCCCCGGCUCAACCGGGGAGGGUCAUUGGAAACUGGUUGACUUGAGUGCAGAAGAGGGGAGUGGAAUUCCAGGUGUAGCGGUGAAAUGCGUAGAUAUAUGGAGGAACACCAGUGGCGAAGGCGACUCUCUGGUCUGUAACUGACGCUGAGGCUCGAAAGCGUGGGUAGCAAACAGG